ACGCGCGCGCGCACGUACGCAUGUAACCGCCAAUUGCAAUAUUUGAAAAAAGAACCCGAUCAACCACUGUUUUGCUGUUCAGAAGUCCGUCUAUAAUUCAUCAUAAACUAAAGGAACACAGGUCAGAUUCGGACAACGACUUCAAAUUCAUUCGCAGAAUACGCUAAACAAUUGGACGACGGAUACACUGGAUGAUAAUGUAGAUGGUCCAGGAUUAUCUGGGAAGGAAACUACAGGUGUUGAACACAGAAAACCGUUUACAAGAAAACAACUGGAGUUUGUGAAAGCUGCAAGAAAUUAAUCUUGCCGGGUACGCAUUCACUUCACCUUGGUCGAGUGCAGCACAGUGGAUAAAUGCAGAAGCGGAUCUAGAGGGGGGGUUGGGGGGGUUGCAACCCCCCCAAAAAAAAAAAAUCCGGGGACCAUUUUUUUAAAUCUUAUCUUUUUUUUUAAACUUGUAAUUUUAGAAAACGCCAUUUUCACACACAGAUUUUCAAAAAUUUUCCCUACUGUGGGAGGGGGGACACCCCCCUCCCACACCCUCCCCCCUCGCUCGCUCCGCUCGCUUGGACUCGGUCGCUACGCUCCUUCGCAUACCACCCCAACCCCCCCCCCUUUAUAAAAAGCUGGAUCCGCCCCUGAAAUGUGUUGCUGAAUGAAAACACCAUUGCUAGGAUUCAAACCCACGACACUCUGUUGAAAGGUGAGAGUCAGAACCACUAGACCACGACGCACCCACAAUUAACAAGCUGAUGUCAUACCCCCACUUGUUCUUUUGUAUUUUAUAACAAGAAGUCAUGUUUAUUCACAUUUUGACCUCCAAGAACUAAAAAGUGGAGUGAAGAUUUAUUUAAUGUAAAUAUGUUAUAUGUAAAAUGUCCUCAUGAAUAUACAAGAUCCCAAUUUAUAUAUUUUUUUGACUUAUAUGAAUUCAAAUUUUGUCCAAGCUAGGUUGUAAAAAAUUACGAUUGACUACUGAUUUACUGUGUAAGACAAAAAUUAUAUUAUUUCUCACACAUAGUUGAGUUAUUCAUCUGAUUCAACACAACAAAAAUAGACAAAAAAGAAAAAAGUGGGAAUCUUGUAUAUUUGAACUAUGGGAAAUAGUUAAAAAAUAGAUGUGCUACUAAGAAUUAUUUUCUAUAUGAUUUGCAAAAUAUUAAAAAAAGAUGUCGCUAUUUUUUUUUUUUCUAUUUUCAUGAUAUAUUCUUUAUUAUUCUAUUCUAUAUAUUCUAUUUUUGAUAAUGAUAUUAUUUAUUUCUUUAUGUAUCUUUAAUGUAUUUAUGAUAAACUUUUGGCAUGUUUCUACAGAAAAUCAAUAAAAACGAUUUAUCUUUUCCGGACUCGAAAAACCUUAUCGCCCUUAAACCAACCUGCUUCUACAAACCGAAUAAUCUGAUUAAUUCACUUUUCGCGUAGCAAAUACGGCGGAAAUAGGAAAAUUCAACCUAUAACCUCACGUUGCAUUGUACAUAUGUCCAAAAUUGCAUCUUCUUAGGAAAAUUUUCAAAAUUUGUGGUAGAUCUCACUCAAUGUAGCAGGUAUACGUGUUGCACGAUCAGCUGGCGAGAUCGAAAAGGCCAGAAUGUACAAAUAUAUGUACUGCGAAAUUGCACUUCCGGGAUUAAGCACGUCCGCCAGACACGAUACGCUAUUUUGCCGUGUGUUUUUACAGAAAAGUUAAACGGAUUAACAUGGCAAUAACCACCUCUCAGAGAUGGUUAUGAGAAACCAUAUUUUGCUUGAAGCAGUUUAUCAAUAAACCGCAUCGCGUCUGUUUCUACAAAAUUCUACAGGAAAGUUUUCCAGGAUUCUGGAUACUUACGCGGGUAAUACCUUUUAACGAUUCUAUGUAGAAACAAGCCGUUUGAUAUAUCUUUUAGGUGAAAAGAAAAUAGAGAAAUAUUAGGAGGUUCUAUUUUUAUGGGGGUACUAUUUUCCCCCCUUUUGGGGAUAUUUAUUUCCUCUAAGUUUGGUACUCUUUACCUUUAAUGAAUCAUUUGGCCAUGUGAAGGCUAUCACACAUUUUGAGUUUAAUCUUCGAAAUUUGGUGUUCAUCAGUUUGUUGUCCAAACUCUGUCUUACAUGUAGAUUUGUUUAUAGGAAGAUUAACAUAAUAUCUAUGUGGAGUGCAAUCAUUGACCUCUUGCAGAGUCGUGCAGUCACAUGUAUUCAUAAUGCUGGUGCUUUUAUGCCAUACAUGUACUUGUCAAUACUGGGUUCCACUCUUUUGUACUUGAACUUAUUAGUAAAAAAAAUAUUUUAUUAAUGUCAUUGAAGUAGCUGUGUGAAAGCAAUUACACACAACAGAUUUAAAAUCAAGGUUAUUGUAUUACAAGUAUCAGGUUUGUUUGCAGAACAGUGGUUUUGCCAAGUACUCAAUCCACGUAAAAAGCCAUCAGAGAGAACAUGUUUAUUCUUGGAAAUGUUAUUAAUUUGUUGUGUUUUUCAAUUAAACUCUGUCUUGAUACAUGUUUAUUUUAGAUACCAAGAUUGACAGAGUAUAGAUGUCAACGAGGAGCAAAGUCAUAUAUAUUCAUAACUUAUGUGCUUUAAUUAUAAAGUCUAUACUUGUGAAUACUGUGUUCCAUUUAUGCUGUACUUAAACUUCUUAUAGUAAAAACAUUUGACGUUCUUGAAAUAA